CGCUAAUCUGGACCCUCAUGCUGCUGGAGGGUACGCAUGGCUGCACUGGUCACUCAGCGGCCCAGCUAUCUCCAUAGAAUGGCCUAAUGCCCAUGUCUAAAUCAUGUUACUCUCAUGCUCAGCCAAUCCUCAGACCUUCAAGGGGUGCUCACAGGUUGCAAAAGGAAGCCCAAACAUUUCAAAGUAUUGGCCAUGCCCCAUAUUCCCCGUCCUAAUCUACUUGUAGCUGCACCAAACCCUUCACCUUAUACAGCCUCCCUCUGGUCCUGGGGACUGUCUCUUAAUGUUGCCCCUUUUGUGUCCUUUGCUUGUGUGAGUUCUUCUCUCUGGGACACUCAACUCUUCUGACCAAAUCCCAGUUCAAACACAGUCUCCUUCAGGAAGCCUUUCUUGGUCUCUGAAGAGAUCCUUCUUUCCCUGGGCUUCCCCAGCCCACCCGCUAAGUUGAGUAUCCUAGAGGCACUUGCCCCGGCCUCUAGCUGCCCAGGAGUGAUUUGUGUUCUUAGAAGCCUCAUCUUCCUUUCAACUCUAAGUCCAUUGAGUCAAGAACCUUGUCUUCUUAAUGUAUGUAUCUUUCAUUUACUGUAUGAACUUGCUUUACUAUGGUAAGCCCUGACAAAUGAUUGAUUUCAUCUUGUUGGAAGAAAGACGGCCUGGCUUCCAUGAGGGGAGUUUUAUAUGUCUUACGUACUCUGCAAAAAUCCUUAUUGAGAGUUUUCUCCUAUUUUAAAUCAGACUCCAAUUUGUGGAUUAAAAUUAGGUGACAUGAAAGAAUUUACAAAACAUGAUUCUUCUUUGGUCGUAAUUUUUUGAGUGAUAUUUUUUCUUAAUUCCAUGUAUAUCUAUCUCUUUUGUUGUUUUAAGACCUUGAACUGGGGC
rnacentral:lncRNA from 10 species